ACCUCGAGUGCCAGGUUACAAAUCUGGCUGUCGUGAUGCCUAAAAAGCAUUGCAUAGCAAGGGCCGGGCAAGACCGGUGCCAGCCGCCGCGGUAACACCGGCGGCUCGAGUGGUAACCGUUAUUAUUGGGUCUAAAGGGUCUGUAGCCGGCCGGAUAAGUCUCUUGAGAAAUCCAGCAGCUCAACUGUUGGGCUUUCAGGAGAUACUGUUCGGCUCGAGGCCGGGAGAGGUGAGAGGUACUUCAGGGGUAGGGGUGAAAUCUUGUAAUCCUUGAAGGACCACCAGUGGCGAAGGCGUCUCACCAGAACGGACCUGACGGCAAGGGACGAAAGCUAGGGGCACGAACCGGAUUAGAUACCCGGGUAGUCCUAGCCGUAAACGAUACUCGCUAGGUGUCGGCCACGGUGCGACCGUUGUCGGUGCCGUAGGGAAGCCGUGAAGCGAGC
rnacentral:rRNA from 1 species